rnacentral:rRNA from 1 species
UACGGGGGGGCAAGCGUUGUUCGGAAUUACUGGGCGUAAAGGGCUCGUAGGUGGCCAACUAAGUCAGACGUGAAAUCCCUCGGCUUAACCGGGAACUGCGUCUGAUACUGGAUGGCUUGAGUUUGGGAGAGGGAUGCGGAAUUCCAGGUGUAGCGGUGAAAUGCGUAGAUAUCUGGAGGAACACCGGUGGCGAAGGCGGCAUCCUGGACCAACACUGACACUGAGGAGCGAAAGCCAGGGAG